rnacentral:rRNA from 1 species
CCUACGGGUGACAGCAGUGAGGAAUAUUGGUCAAUGGCCGGAAGGCUGAACCAGCCAAGCCGCGUGAGGGAGGAAGGUGCAGAGCAUCGUAAACCUCUUUUGUCAGGGGACAAACGCGGGCACGUGUGCCCGACUGAGUGUACUUGAAGAAAAAGCAUCGGCUAACUCCGUGCCAGCAGCCGCGGUAAUACGGGGGAUGCGAGCGUUAUCCGGAUUUAUUGGGUUAAAAGGGUGCGUAGGCGGUCUGUUAUGUCAGCGGUAAAAGCCCGGGGCUCAACCCCGGCGAGCCGUUGAAACUGGCAGUCUUGAGUUGUCGAGAGGUAUGCGGAAUGCGCGGUGGAGCGGUGAAAUGCUUAGAUAUUGCGCAGAACUCCGAUUGCGAAGGCAGCAUGCCGGCGACGCACUGACGCUGAGGCACGAAAGCGUGGGUAUCGAACAGGAUUAGAUACCCCAGUAGUC